UGGGGAAUAUUGCACAAUGGGCGCAAGCCUGAUGCAGCCAUGCCGCGUGUAUGAAGAAGGCCUUCGGGUUGUAAAGUACUUUCAGCGAGGAGGAAGGCGUUGUGGUUAAUAACCGCAACGAUUGACGUUACUCGCAGAAGAAGCACCGGCUAACUCCGUGCCAGCAGCCGCGGUAAUACGGAGGGUGCAAGCGUUAAUCGGAAUUACUGGGCGUAAAGCGCACGCAGGCGGUCUGCCAAGUCGGAUGUGAAAUCCCCGGGCUCAACCUGGGAACUGCAUCCGAAACUGGCAGGCUAGAGUCUUGUAGAGGGGGGUAGAAUUCCAGGUGUAGCGGUGAAAUGCGUAGAGAUCUGGAGGAAUACCGGUGGCGAAGGCGGCCCCCUGGACAAAGACUGACGCUCAGGUGCGAAAGCGUGGGGAGCAAACA
rnacentral:rRNA from 1 species